rnacentral:tmRNA from 1 species
GGGGCCGUUUGGUUUUGACAGCAUUGAUCUUUGAAAGUAUAAGCAUGCCGGGCGUUGGAUAAUUAGCCCGUAAAUCUGAAUAUUCAAAACACAACUGGCAAUACUCAGUAUGCCAUGGCUGCCUAAUCAGUGAUUAGUUAGUCAUUAGGGCCGCCGCGCAGGUUCGCCACUUUCCAAGCGCCGCCGCCGACUUAAAACAAACAGUGGAUGCGGCAACCGAAGGCUGUGACGGUUGCUUAAGACCAUCCAGCUAAGAAGAUGAUUGGUUUGUUUCUGUCCGGUUAUCUUCCGACAAGCAAUCAGGAAAUAAGCAUGUAGAAAGCUUUUGAACGUCAUGUUUGGACACGGGUUCGACUCCCGUCGGCUCCACCA